rnacentral:misc_RNA from 1 species
GCGAAAAAGGUUUAAAAAUUUACAAACACUUUAAUUAUCGGUUAGGUCGGCAAAAAUCCUCUUAGCUAUAUCCUCCCCGCGGGUGCCGACUGGGCAAUGGGCGUCGCUGCUGUCACCGCGAUGGCUUAGCACCUAGGCUAGUACCUAGAGCGGGUCUUGGCGGUGCGAGCAGGCGGCGUCUAGCGAAAGCAGGAGUAUGUAUCCAUCCUUCUCUUCCUAGUGCUAUGCUCUGCUCUGCUCUGCAUAUGAAACUGGUGGAGGGGGGUGUAUGCCUACUUCUGCCAUUGCUAACGAGGUACCUGGCGGUAGGUAUAAAACGCUAGGGGUAGAGGUUCCCUGACACAAAAACUCACCAUGGAGGCUAGAAAAGAAGAAGAACGGGCUGGGAUAUCAGCCCAAACGUCGGUGGGAGAAGUGGCUACUAUCACCGGCGGGCACAGCGAUUCUACUCGCUGUGUCGCCAGCGGCCACACCUCUGGUGUGGAGGGAGCGGUUCACAGCGGUUGUAGUGCUACCGCCAAACCGACGCUACAGCGCAUGGGUGCCACAGUCCACGAAGACUCGGACCUCGAAAGCGUUACCACCCAAGAGGAAGAAGCCCUGCUACGCUCUCCGGGGUAUGCCAAAGGUGCUUGUUCGGCAUCAAAGAAAAGGCCUAGGGCAAACCCCAGUAGGGAGGGGUUGAAGGCUAAAGCCAUAUACAAGGCGGCGGUCAAAGUCCACGAGAGACUUAGCUGCAAGUCCAACCGUACGAAGGAAGAGAAGGAAAGGUUGGCUUGUGCUAAGGGGAAAAUGGAGGAAGGCCGGGCGUACUACGCAGCAAGGCCACGAUUCAAUGCCACGGACCCGGGAUUCGCAAACCGGAUCGAGGAAGGAAUCGCGGCUAAAAGGCAGCGGUCUGCUGAAAGCGAGAUAGCAAGGCCGUCCAAGAGAUCGAAGCGCAAAGACGACGCUGCAAAGCCAAACGCCAGGCACGAUCAAGAGAAAGCGACAACAUCGAGAGCGACGGCAACGGCCAGUGAGAUAGCCAGGAGACAUCUAAUCGUGGCACUCAUAGACCGUAGCAAUCCGCUGGCAGAAAUGUCUCAGGAGCGCUGUGGAGCAGUGGAGGUAAAGCUGUUGGAUGCGCUCGUCGAGAAAAUGGAUGGGGACCCUAACACGACCAUGCCAACUUUCGAUGGUGCGGGGUGGCUAAACGGGGUUAAAAUACUAAAGUGCAAGGACGAUCCAACUCUACUAUGGGUAAAGGAAGCUGUCGCGACGCUUCAAGGCCUGUGGGAGGGCGCCGUCUUGUAGGUUGUGGACCGCAGCUGCAUACCGUCCAUACCGAAAGCGAAGGUGCUCAUACCCCGCACGGUAAAGCCGGAGAAUGCGCUGCGGCUUCUGCAGAGACAGAAUCCAGACGUGCCGACGGGAGAUUGGAGGGUGUUAAAGGUCACCAACUCCGGUAAGGAGGAUGGCAGCCAAAACUACAUCCUCCAAAUAAAUAAGCCGGACGAAGACAUAUUGUACGCUAGGUUCGGGAAGAUAGCGUGGGGCGUAGGUAGCGUAUACCUUCGCCUGAAGAAGCGAAACCUGGCCGAUAAGAAUGAGAACACGUUGGAGGAGCGAGAGGUUGAGGAGGAUCUGGGAGAGAUCCUGGAGGCCACCUUGAAACUCCAGGAUACCAAGAAGGGUGAACCGGAGACUCUACCCGACCCCGAGAAGAAUCCUGAUCCUUGCAGUGAAGGUUCUUCAGAUAAACUUGCAUAAAAGCAAGGUCGGCUCUGCCGAGCUCCUCGUCAAUUUAGAGAGGAUCGGCUACGAUGCGGCGUUAGUCCAGGAGCCAUGGAUAGCAUCGGGAAACGUGGUAUCUGGACUAAAGUCGCAAACAUACUACACGCACAUCCCGAGUGCAACAAAUAAGACGACCUGACGGUGGUAGCUGUGAAGGAUGGCAAGGAUGACACAAUACUCCUUGCAUCUUGUUACAUGCCUCACGACGAGGAGGCGCCACCAAACGGACUCCGGAGGUUGGUGGCAGAGGCCGAGAAGGCGAAACGUCCACUCGUCAUAGGCGCGGAUGACAAUGCGCACAAUACGGUAUGGGGGAGUGGAGAUACCAACGAAAGGGUCGCUGAACCGUUCGCCAAAAACGAUUUCCUCUGCUUCAAUGCUCACCAGAGACGAUUAUGAGCCCACCAUUUCAACAUUUAAGGAUAUUUCCCGUGAGGCCUGCAUUGAAGGACUUACCAUUUCAUCAUUUAACAAAUGAGAAAUGAGUAAGACUUUUGAAACUAGACGCAAUCGGGAUUUUACGGAAAGAUUUUUCAAAAACCGGGCAUCACUUUUCAUUCCCUAUGUAUGGACAACCAGAAAAAUGUACAGCGUGGAAUUGCGAAAUCGCUACGUCGUACUACAUAUCAAACAGAUGCCACCCUUGACGUUGUGCGUCGUGGAUAUUGGUUUUGCUCAAUAGGCCGACUGUUACCUACAUUGCCUUCGCAAUUUCCGCACCGUUUGUCGCAGUGGACCUGUACAAUAUUUCCUGGAUAGUAUAUAAAACUACGUGUUGAUUACUAAAUUGGUAUUGGCGGCUGCCGCUACAAAAAUGUAUAAAUUUUUAUUUUAAUAACUAAUUGUUAAAUUUGUUGAAUAGUCCUACCAAAUCUUUAAUACAACGCUUUCCACAAGAAUAUAAAAAUUUAUUGUAAUAACUGAUUGUAAAAUUUGCUGAGUAGUCAUACUAAAGUAGUGAUUCAAUAUCAAUAUUAAGGAAUCUUUAAU